AGCACUGUUUCGGCUAGGGGGCCAUCCCGGCUUACCAACCCGAUGCAAACUGCGAAUACCGGAGAAUGUUAUCACGGGAGACACACGGCGGGUGCUAACGUCCGUCGUGAAGAGGGAAACAACCCAGACCGCCAGCUAAGGUCCCAAAGUCAUGGUUAAGUGGGAAACGAUGUGGGAAGGCCCAGACAGCCAGGAUGUUGGCUUAGAAGCAGCCAUCAUUUAAAGAAAGCGUAAUAGCUCACUGGUCGAGUCGGCCUGCGCGGAAGAUGUAACGGGGCUAAACCAUGCACCGAAGCUGCGGCAGCGACGCUGAUGCGUUGUUGGGUAGGGGAGCGUUCUGUAAGCCUGCGAAGGUGGCCUGUGAGGGUUGCUGGAGGUAUCAGAAGUGCGAAUGCUGACAUAAGUAACGAUAAAGCGGGUGAAAAGCCCGCUCGCCGGAAGACCAAGGGUUCCUGUCCAACGUUAAUCGGGGCAGGGUGAGUCGACCCCUAAGGCGAGGCCGAAAGGCGUAGUCGAUGGGAAACGGGUUAAUAUUCCCGUACUUGGUGUUACUGCGAAGGGGGGACGGAGAAGGCUAUGUUGGCCGGGCGACGGUUGUCCCGGUUUAAGCGUGUAGGUGUGUGUUCCAGGUAAAUCCGGUUCACUUUAACACUGAGGCGUGAUGACGAGGCACUACGGUGCUGAAGCAACAAAUGCCCUGCUUCCAGGAAAAGCCUCUAAGCAUCAGGUAACAUCAAAUCGUACCCCAAACCGACACAGGUGGUCAGGUAGAGAAUACCAAGGCGCUUGAGAGAACUCGGGUGAAGGAACUAGGCAAAAUGGUGCCGUAACUUCGGGAGAAGGCACGCUGACACGUAGGUGAAGUGAUUUACUCAUGGAGCUGAAGUCAGUCGAAGAUACCAGCUGGCUGCAACUGUUUAUUAAAAACACAGCACUGUGCAAACACGAAAGUGGACGUAUACGGUGUGACGCCUGCCCGGUGCCGGAAGGUUAAUUGAUGGGGUCAGCGCAAGCGAAGCUCCUGAUCGAAGCCCCGGUAAACGGCGGCCGUAACUAUAACGGUCCUAAGGUAGCGAAAUUCCUUGUCGGGUAAGUUCCGACCUGCACGAAUGGCGUAAUGAUGGCCAGGCUGUCUCCACCCGAGACUCAGUGAAAUUGAACUCGCUGUGAAGAUGCAGUGUACCCGCGGCAAGACGGAAAGACCCCGUGAACCUUUACUAUAGCUUGACACUGAACAUUGAGCCUUGAUGUGUAGGAUAGGUGGGAGGCUUUGAAGUGUGGACGCCAGUCUGCAUGGAGCCGACCUUGAAAUACCACCCUUUAAUGUUUGAUGUUCUAACGUGGACCCGUGAUCCGGGUUGCGGACAGUGUCUGGUGGGUAGUUUGACUGGGGCGGUCUCCUCCUAAAGAGUAACGGAGGAGCACGAAGGUUGGCUAAUCCUGGUCGGACAUCAGGAGGUUAGUGCAAUGGCAUAAGCCAGCUUGACUGCGAGCGUGACGGCGCGAGCAGGUGCGAAAGCAGGUCAUAGUGAUCCGGUGGUUCUGAAUGGAAGGGCCAUCGCUCAACGGAUAAAAGGUACUCCGGGGAUAACAGGCUGAUACCGCCCAAGAGUUCAUAUCGACGGCGGUGUUUGGCACCUCGAUGUCGGCUCAUCACAUCCUGGGGCUGAAGUAGGUCCCAAGGGUAUGGCUGUUCGCCAUUUAAAGUGGUACGCGAGCUGGGUUUAGAACGUCGUGAGACAGUUCGGUCCCUAUCUGCCGUGGGCGCUGGAGAACUGAGGGGGGCUGCUCCUAGUACGAGAGGACCGGAGUGGACGCAUCACUGGUGUUCGGGUUGUCAUGCCAAUGGCACUGCCCGGUAGCUAAAUGCGGAAGAGAUAAGUGCUGAAAGCAUCUAAGCACGAAACUUGCCCCGA
rnacentral:rRNA from 1 species